GCUGGGCGUGGUUGUGCGCACCUGUACUCCCAGCUACUUGGGAGGCUGAGGCAGGAGAAUCACUUGAACCCGGGAGGCUGAGGUUGCAGUGAGCCGAGAUCGGGCCACUGCACUCCAACCUGGGCAACAGAGUGAGACUCUGUCUCAA
ensembl:misc_RNA Metazoa_SRP Metazoan signal recognition particle RNA